rnacentral:rRNA from 1 species
UACGUAGGGUCCGAGCGUUGUCCGGAAUUAUUGGGCGUAAAGGGCUCGUAGGCGGUUCGUCACGUCGGGAGUGAAAACUCGGAGCUUAACUCCGAGCCUGCUUCCGAUACGGGCAGACUAGAGGUAGGCAGGGGAGAGCGGAACUCCUGGUGUAGCGGUGGAAUGCGCAGAUAUCAGGAGGAACACCGAUGGCGAAGGCAGAUCUCUGGGCCGUAACUGACGCUGAGGAGCGAAAGCGUGGGGAGCGAACAGG